rnacentral:rRNA from 1 species
AAGUAGCUUGCUACUUUGCCGGCGAGCGGCGGACGGGUGAGUAAUGUCUGGGAAACUGCCUGAUGGAGGGGGAUAACUACUGGAAACGGUAGCUAAUACCGCAUGACGUCGCAAGACCAAAGUGGGGGACCUUCGGGCCUCACGCCAUCGGAUGUGCCCAGAUGGGAUUAGCUAGUAGGUGGGGUAAUGGCUCACCUAGGCGACGAUCCCUAGCUGGUCUGAGAGGAUGACCAGCCACACUGGAACUGAGACACGGUCCAGACUCCUACGGGAGGCAGCAGUGGGGAAUAUUGCACAAUGGGCGCAAGCCUGAUGCAGCCAUGCCGCGUGUGUGAAGAAGGCCUUAGGGUUGUAAAGCACUUUCAGCGAGGAGGAAGGCGUUGUNGUUAAUAGCUGCAACGAUUGACGUUACUCGCAGAAGAAGCACCGGCUAACUCCGUGCCAGCAGCCGCGGUAAUACGGAGGGUGCAAGCGUUAAUCGGAAUUACUGGGCGUAAAGCGCACGCAGGCGGUUUGUUAAGUCAGAUGUGAAAUCCCCGAGCUUAACUUGGGAACUGCAUUUGAAACUGGCAAGCUAGAGUCUUGUAGAGGGGGGUAGAAUUCCAGGUGUAGCGGUGAAA